UUGACUUUAACUUAGAUGGUAGAGCGGAGGACUGUAGAUCCUUAAGUCGCUGGUUCGAAUUCGGCAGGUCGAA
rnacentral:ncRNA from 15 species